AUGUCAUGAGUCAGAAGAGUGCAGGCUGAGGCAUGCCCUCCACUGAAUGGCUUGUCUGCACUCUGAAAGCCAAGUGAACCAACCAUUCCAUCCGUAUGAAGAGCGUAAGUCCUAGAUUUGCGUCGUGAUGUCAUCUCAGGUGCCACUGCUAUCUGUUCUGAGGUUCACUCUGUUCAGCAGCCUUGGACUCUUCAUGGAGUAACAGAUUGGUACUGCACCAGGGAAGAGGUGGUCAUCAACUAUGAAGGAAUCCAGACCUUUAAUCCUGUAGAGCUUCCAAGUAAGGAUAAUGGGUCAACUACAACCUUCUUCCUAGGAUAUGUCGACGUGCACGGCAUUAGGAAAAUCUGCUCUUUAAAUUAAAAUACAAACUCA
ensembl:lncRNA novel transcript